rnacentral:rRNA from 1 species
UACGUAGGGCGCAAGCGUUGUCCGGAAUUAUUGGGCGUAAAGAGCUCGUAGGCGGCCUGUUGCGUCCGCUGUGAAAUCCCGGGGCUUAACCCCGGGCCUGCAGUGGAUACGGGCAGGCUGGAGGCAGGCAGGGGAGAACGGAAUUCCCGGUGUGGCGGUGAAAUGCGCAGAUAUCAGGAAGAACACCCGUGGCUAAGGCGGCUCUCUAGUACGGUACUGACGCUGAGACGCGAAAGCGUGGGGAGCGAACAGG